rfam:Otolemur garnettii contig045916, whole genome shotgun sequence.
GGAUGUGAGGGUGAUCUGGCCACAACAUCUGUCACCCCACUGAUCAGCCAGGGUUGAUUUGGCUGAUCUGGCUGGGUAGGCAAGCGUCCCCUUCCUCCCUCACUGCUCCAUUUGCGUCCCUCCCGAAACUGCGUGCUUGAUUGAACAGAAUGACCUUCCCCGAUAGAGGAGGAGGACCAUUCUUUGUUUAAGAGUAUACAAGUAGCUGUAUUCCCUUGCUAGAACCUCCAAACAAUAUUUCAAGAGAAAGAGGAUUUAUAAAAACUCUGAACUGGGAGGGUGAGUCAUCACGACUCAGAAGGACUGCUUGGUAAAGCUAAGUACAGACGGCACGUGCCAAAUGUAACCAGGUGUACCUGUU